GCCGAGCUCAGUAGCGAGAGCUUGUAACCCGAGUGGGGGCAUUAAGGUGAUGUGGACGCUGUUGUAGCGCUGCGGGCCUGGUUUGGGUGUGCUACUGCAGGCCCACCCGUUCCAAGUUGCGUAGUGGACGGCCUGGGGCCCAUGCGAAAGCUGGGCCUCAAGGUCCAUAAUGUGGCAGGCACAGCGUGAGGCUGGCUUCACAGAGCAGCGACAACUGCCCGCUUCCAACGG
rfam:Hordeum vulgare subsp. vulgare, WGS project CAJW01000000 data, contig: morex_contig_173884